rnacentral:snoRNA from 1 species
UACCCCGGCAAUGGGCAAAGAGACACUGUUGGUGGUGGUGUUCUUCUAUCAGUUAGGAGCAGAGCAGUUGGCAGUCCUCCUAGCUUGAUGCCUGGCUUGGUAGCCAAAGUUGCUUUAUGCCUAGGACUCAAAA